rnacentral:piRNA from 1 species
UAACUUGGAGAAAGCCAGAGUCGCAAG